rnacentral:tRNA from 1 species
AUCUUUCUAGUAUUAUUAGUACGUGUGACUUCCAAUCACCUGGACUUGGUUCAACCCCAAGGAAAGAUA